rnacentral:lncRNA from 1 species
CUAGGUAAUAAGAACAUUAUCAAAAAUAUUGUGCCCGCCAGCAAACACCCCCCUCCAGACAAUCAAUUGAGGAAGAAUAGGCUUCAUCCUACACACCAUCAGCUUUACACAAAUCUUAUAGAGGGUAGUGUAUAAGCUAAGCAGUCUGAAGUGACUAGGUUCUGAAACAUCCUAUCUCUUUAGAACCAGGGUUAUGAAUGUCUGCUUCCACAUCCCUGACAUCUAACUGGUAGCAAAGAACUCCUGCACUGCUGCAACCACC